CACGUAGGGUGCGAGCGUUGUCCGGAAUUAUUGGGCGUAAAGAGCUCGUAGGCGGUGUGUCGCGUCGGCCGUGAAAACCUGCAGCUUAACUGUGGGCUUGCGGUCGAUACGGGCAUCACUGGAGUUCGGCAGGGGAGACUGGAAUUCCUGGUGUAGCGGUGGAAUGCGCAGAUAGUCAGGAGGAACACCGGUGGCGAAGGCGGGUCUCUGGGCAGUAA
rnacentral:rRNA from 1 species